GACAGAGGGUGCAAACGUUGUUCGGAAUUACUGGGCGUAAAGGGCGCGUAGGCGGCGUGACAAGUCACUUGUGAAAUCUCCGGGCUUAACUCGGAACGGCCAAGUGAAACUGUCAUGCUAGAGUGCAGAAGGGGCAAUCGGAAUUCUUGGUGUAGCGGUGAAAUGCGUAGAUAUCAAGAGGAACACCUGAGGUGAAGACGGGUUGCUGGGCUGACACUGACGCUGAUGCGCGAAAGCCAGGGGAGCAAACGGG
rnacentral:rRNA from 1 species